rnacentral:lncRNA from 1 species
CGCACUCGCUUACUCUACUAUCUCUCUCUCUCUCUCUCUCUGUGUGUGUGUGUGUCUCCCACCGAGGCUUUGAUGCAGCGAUGACGCGUCCCCAUAAGGGCAGCUAGCGCCGAUGGCAACGGGAGGAUCAACUACAACGACGACAACGAGGAGGAGAGCAACCCAUCGUGGCAAAGCAGCAGAUGGAGCAAGUGGUGGUCACGCCAUCGUAGCUGACAACAAGUCAAGGUCAUUUAUGGAAAGAAUCACCGGGUCAUCACAUUGCAGCGUUUGAGGUUGUCGAAGAAAGCCCGAUCCAACCAUUAGAGGGGAGGAGGAAGUCAUAUAUAGCCAAUACAUUUUUUUUAAUGUUUAAAAUUUCUAAUGUUUAAGCCAAUGUUUUUUUUAUGUUUCUUUUUGUUAGAUUGUAAUGUUGUACUAGGAAUUUUAAUGUUGUUUCAUAUUUUUGUCUUCAGUUCAUUGUAAUGUCGUUUCAUGUCCGAUCGAUUAGGUCACCAACUCCGUUGUUGGCCAAAUGAGAUUCAGGAUCAGAUGGUCUUUAAGGGGUUCUUUAGGACGUGCGUGGUAAUUGUAAAGUGUGAAAUUCCUACAUUCAAAGGAGUAAUAAACUCUUGAGUCUUGAGCAAAUCGUAGGUUUGAAAGUAAGACACUACAGGUUGAUUAUUGGAGUUAUUGAAUGGUUCACACCUAUAAACCGUUUACUAGUUAUUGAACAGUUCACAUCUAUAAACCGCCCACUAAGCUAGCCAAGCAAUAAAAAGUCAACCAAAAUUUCAUUUCUUACAUAAUUUGUUUAGAUUUUGUUGGUUUUUAAAGUAAUUAAUGGUCAUGUAUAAAGGAAUUUAGUUCGCAUGUACAAACAUUUUUGUUAUCUUUCUCAAGCAUGUAGGGAUAAUUGAGAAAGAAUAGAUUAAUUUGGAUGAGUGCUAUGAGCUUGUGAACAACAUAAGAAAUAUAAGUACUGAACUAGCUAGGGCAAUGCUUCCCCAGUAAUAUGAUUUUAAUUAUCCAUCUUUAUGAGUGUUAAAAAAGUACCCAAGAAAUCAACGAUAUUAAAUUAAUACCCCAGAUCAUACAUCAUGUGACAAAUAUAUAUGUGUACUGAUAUACAUUAUUCAUAAAAAGAAUCAUAUAAAAUAUCGAGUUUAGGAUUACAUGAAGUAUACAAUAUUUAGCUAAUAUAAUAAUCAACAAACUCUUUUUACUACCAAUCACUAGUUUUGAACCUUAUCAAGCAUCAAUAAUUUAGUUAUGGUUGUUCUCCCAGAACUGAGCUUGGAGCCAAUCCACAGCUUUCUUGUCCACCUGAAAUGCCUUAGCAAGAACGUCAUCCGAGAUUGGUGAAUUUGAUCCAAAUACUGCAUUAGCAAUGGUAAUCGCUCCAGGGUUCUGGCUGCUAAGUGCAGCGAUGGCAACUGCUGGCUUAUCAUAGCUUGGAUUGAACUGGAAGUGAAUGAGACCUUGUGGGAACACGAAGACAUCACCCUUGUUAAGUGUCUUGGUGAAGAGCUUGUUUUCUCCGUUUGCUUGGUUCGAUGUAACAAAACCAACAUAGAGUGUACCCUCAAGAACAGUUAGGAUCUCGGUAGCACGGGGAUGCGUGUGUGGUGGGUUUUGCCCUUUAGGAGCAUAGUCGAUCCUUGCCAUGGAGAUGCCAAGGGUGUUGAGACCUGCGAGUUUCAUCACAUUGAUCAAUGUAACAUUGGAUCCAGCCUUGCUCUUGGUUGUGUCCAUCGGCUUGUCGAGGUUAGCUGCUAGGAAGAAGUCAUCAACAUUCACAUCUUUAGCAUCCUUGCAAGGGAACCCAUUGACAUGUACUACAUUGAAGAACAUACAAAGGUCAGAUCGAAAGCUAGAAACAUAUAUAUGUACAACAUGAAUAUCUCAUAUCAUUGUUAAUCUGAUGUAACUGCAUGAUCAGUGAAGAAGUACACUACCUGGAGAGUUCCUGUCGGCAACGCAGAAGUCCUGAAGAGGACUGGGAUCAGAAGCCAUGGCCUGAGUAGCGACCAAAGCGAUGAGAGCUGUGAGAAGAAAGAAGUUCGAGGAGGCCAUGUUAAGUUGAUGGAACUUUUGCUUGUGUACAAGUAGUGGUCGAUGCUUCUUGUAUAGCUGUAGUCUAUGCUUUUGUCCAUGGAAGCAUCCAUAUAUAUAGGCCUCUGAGCAUGAAAUGAUUCUGAAGUGGUCAAUAAGAAAAGGAUGAGCUAGCUAGUGACUUGUUCAUCUCCUCAGAAGUCUGAACUGGUCUUGAACUCUUAAUGAUUGCAUCUGGGAAAGAAACUAUUUAAUUUGAUGGAUUCAAGCUAUCUUAAUUCCCAGUCAACAGCUAGGUUGGCCGACUAAUUAAUUAAUUAGAUUAUUCCAGUGCCUGUCAUGCAUGAUGCAUGCAUUAGAUUGAUGAUGUCUUGGCUGUCUUUGUUAUCAGGUGAAUAGAAACACAGAGCACUUUACUACCAUUUUCAACCUUACCAAGUUUUAGCAUUGCUAAAUUUUGGUAUGUUUGCUAAAAUUUUAACAAGGUUGCUAAAUUUUGGCAAGAUUUUAUAUGUGCUUACUAAAAAUUUAGCAACAAACUAAACGUAGUUAAAAUUUUAGCAACUUUAUCAGAAAAUGGCAUCAAAGUGAACAGGCUCAUAUUAUGAUAAAGAUAGGGAGAUGGAUUUUUAUCUCUCAAGAAGAUUUAAAAAAAUGAUAAGAUAAUUAAAUUAAAUUAAAAUAUAUCUCUUUACAAAUAUACAAUACAAGUUUAAUAUGACAUUCAAGUUGUAACAAAAAUAACCGUGAAUGUACGUUAACGAGUAGAUUGACCAUGUCUUCUCUAUCCAUGUAAAGUAUACUUGGUCCCUUUCGUCUCCGCAUAUUCAGGCAUCCAUGUGUGUUAUGGCAAUAUAACGUCUGAAUGUCUGAUUAAUUAGUCAAGAGCUAGCACCCAUGCUAAUUAAAAGGGAAGUUGAUAAUGUCAGUAUUGCAGUUAAUUGCUGAAUAUAUCAACACGCUCUCUGUUGCCUGCAGCUGCCGAGACAGUUUCAAGCUAAUAACUAUUGGUAGUUUGGUUAAUUCAGUUCAAAGCUCACCAGAUCAAUUACAUCAUCAAUUACAUCGGCCGGCGGCUCUUCAUUCCCCUGGCCAGCUGCAUAUGGAUAGCUAGGAGAGGAGUUAAAACAAAUACUAGCUUCCAAUAUAUAGAAAUAUUUAUCUUUUUAGCGCUUGUUAUAUUAUCCUUCCUCUAUCUUCAGGAGUGUGUUUUGCAUAAAAAAGGGAUUAUCUAAAAAAAGGUACCACAAUUUUUUAAAGUGAAAAACUCUCAAAUAUAACUGCAGUAUAGUUGUACUAUAAUUCUACAAUAAUUAUACUAUAACUACAAUGUAACUUGUAAAGAUUAAAAAAAUAUGCAACUUUACAGCUAAGUUAUAUAGAGAUUAGAAUGUAGGUAUAUUGUAAUUACAAUGUAGUUACAAUGUAAGUAUAGUGUAAUUAUAUUAUAGUUACUACAACUAUACCAUAGUUAUAUUUGAAAGCAUUUACCAAAAUGAAAUUGUGAUUAGUUUUUUUAGCAAUUUCCCAAAAAAGUAUAAAAAAGUAUAGUUCUAGUGAAAACGCUCCAAGCUGGGCACUGGAUCUAGGAGAAAAAAACCGGCUUCCUGCCAAUCAUUCCCAUCCACUCAUUCAAUCAUUUCUCUCUCCCUUGUCUCACUCACAUCUCUCCCCCUUAUCGCGCACUUGAUUACUCUACUCUCUCUCUCUCUGUGUGUCUGUCUCUAUCUCCCACCAAGGCUUUGAUGUGGCGAUGAUGACAUGUCACCAUAAGGGUAGCCGAUGCCGAUGGCAACGGGAGGACAACUACAACGACGACAGCGAGGAGGAGGGAAACCUAUCGUAGAGAAGCAGCGGACGGAGCAAGUGGUGGUCAUGCCAUCGCAGUUGACAACAAGGAAGUCAAGGUCAUUUAUAGAAAGAAUCACCGGGUCAUCACAUUGCAGCGUUUGAGGUUGUCGAAGAAAGCCCGAUCCAACCAUUGGAGGGGAGGAGGAAGUCAGAUAUAGC